UUGUCGCCUAUAGGUGGCAAUGUUUUCCUCCGUUUUGCAUAGGUGAAGACGUUGGUUUCUUCAGGUUACAGUUGAGUUUCUCACCUGGUUCAUAUUCUACACGUCCCCAGCUUUACGGAAAAAGCCGACUUGCAAAACAACGAAUACAUUGAGCUCAAAAUGUUCGCCAUCGGCAUUUGGAACGCCAAGACUAUUUGUCUUGGAAUUGUAUACAAAAGGGGCGUCACAUAUGAAAGAAGAGUAGACGAGUCUAGUCAUAAGAAUGUUGUUUUAUACGAGUGAGUCAGGUGUGAAGUGACUGGGUGUCACUUGUGAGAAUACAGACAUAACAUAUUAGAUGGAACUGUGGCACAAGUGUUAACAGUGGUCCAUCACUUGCUUUAGUUACUUUGGCCCCACAAAACCUUCGAGGUAAAUGAUACACAAUACAAUUUCCUGAGACAAAUCAAUGGGCGUAAUGUACUUCAACCUCAAUGCAGUAAAAAAACAAAAAA